GACGAACGCUGGCGGCGUGCCUAACACAUGCAAGUCGAACGAAGUGGCGAACGGGUGAGUAACGCGUAAUCAACCUGCCCUUCAGAGGGGGACAACAGUUGGAAACGACUGCUAUUACCGCAUACUGAAGGAGGGGCUUGCGUCUUAUUAGCUAGUUGGAGGGGUAACGGCCCACCAAGGCGAUGAUCAGUAGCCGGGCUGGGGGGAUGGACGGCCACAUUGGGACGGGGACACGGCCCAGACUCCUACGGGAGGCAGCAGUGGGGAAUCUUCCGCAAUGGACGAAAAGCUGACGGAGCAACGCCGCGUGGGUGAUGACGGCCUUCGGGUUGUAAAGCUAUGUUAAUCGGGACGCGGUACCGGAAGAGAAAGCCACGGCUAACUACGUGCCAGCAGCCGCGGUAAUAC
rnacentral:rRNA from 1 species